rnacentral:lncRNA from 10 species
AUCUUUGUCUAUGCUACCAAGGGCUAGGUGAUCUACAUGCCCCCUGGCACAUGGAAGGUACUCAUUAAACAUUUAUUGAGAGAAGGAAUGGAUACAUUUGGGCUACACAAGUAGCCUGUGAAUCUAGUUUUGUAAACUCCAUUAUACAGCAAAGGUAUCUAGUUUACCCAAGAUCACGUUCUAGUGUAAGAAUUAGGAGCACGAACCCUGAAGCCAGAGGACACCCUACUCCCUGCCUCAUUACUAUGUGAAGAGCAUCCUCACCGGGAGUCAAUUCCAUCUCAAGAAACCACUUUCUUUGCAUAUCCGUAAGAAGCAAUUCUUCAUCCAUUCAAGUCCUACCGUGAGAUUGCAACAAUCAAGUCACAUCUUCAGGUUCCACUUCUAAUUCCAGUUCUCUUGCUAUUUUCACCACAUCUGCAGUUACUUUCUCCACUAAAGUCUGGAACCCUUCAAAACCACCCAUGAAGUUUGAUAUCAGCUUCUUUCAAGCUCCUGUUAAUAUUGCUUUUUGACCUUCUAGGAGAUGUGAAUGUUCU